AUCGCUUCUCGGCCUUAUGGCUAAGAUCAAAGUGUAGUAUCUGUUCUUAUCAGCUUAAUAUCUGAUACACUCCCCAUAGGGGAGUCAGAAUGUUAAUCUGAUUUUUGGAAACUGACGGAGUUGUUGGAGCUUGCUCUACCUCUGUCGCGAGUCAGCCUGGCAUUGCAGUAGCGCCGGGAUUUGGCUCAAUCACA
rfam:Habropoda laboriosa contig19170, whole genome shotgun sequence.